rnacentral:rRNA from 1 species
UUGGGAAUCUUGGACAAUGGGGGAAACCCUGAUCCAGCCAUGCCGCGUGAGUGAUGAAGGCCUUCGGGUUGUAAAACUCUUUCGCGCACGACGAUAAUGACGGUAGUGCGAGAAGAAGCUCCGGCUAACUCCGUGCCAGCAGCCGCGGUAAUACGGAGGGGGCUAGCGUUGUUCGGAAUUACUGGGCGUAAAGCGCACGUAGGCGGCUUUGUAAGUUAGAGGUGAAGGCCCGGGGCUCAACUCCGGAAUUGCCUUUAAGACUGCAUCGCUAGAAUUGUGGAGAGGUAAGUGGAAUUCCGAGUGUAGAGGUGAAAUUCGUAGAUAUUCGGAAGAACACCAGUGGCGAAGGCGACUUACUGGACACAUAUUGACGCUGAGGUGCGAAAGCGUGGGGAGCAAAC